GAGAGGGGAAGGGAGAUCAAACACCAUGUGGGGAGGAGGACAGGAAAAUCUCUCUUGUCAGUGCUAAGUCUUAACUUAUAAUCAGAUGGAAUGGUUUUAACCGGGCUCUGCUAUCCCAGGGAUUUUCAGAAAGGAUGUUGAAGUAACGAAAUAACCUUGGUCUCUUGUGCUUCUUGCUCUUUUGCAGGUUGAGGAGAAAUGCUGCGUAUGUCUGUCUGUUUAUGCUUUGGGAAAGAUUUCUGUGCCCUCUGUUGAUGUCAGAAUGUAACUGUCAACAUUGAAGGCCUUGUGCUGUUUUUAUGCUGCAGACCUGUCUAUCUGUAGCUGCUUGGUGACAAGUUCUAAAAGAGGAGAGAGAGAGAGAGAGAGAGAGAGAGAGAGAGAGAAUCGGGAACCUCAUCGUGCACCUUUGCAGGAAGCCCCAGUACUUGGCUCAGGGAAAAGACAAAGUCAGAAAAGGCAGGAAGGAAGGAAGGAAGGAAGGAAGGAAGGAAGGAAGGAAGGGUGUAGGAUUGUUCCUGGAACAUUUGGAGGUAGGAGAUGAUGACGAGUAACUUCCAACCUGAUUUUUCCUUUCAAACCAAGCCUUUCUGGCAAAAAAGACUGUAUUGCAUGGACAGAUUUCUCAGUGGCUCCAACAUUGCUACCUCUGCAACCGGUGGUAAUGCCAAAGCAGAAAAAAAGAAAACUUGCACAGCUUCCACCCAAACUGAGCCUCCCUGAAAUCUUUUGAAAAAAUUGCACUCUUCCACCCCAUGACAUCAAUGAAAUCCCACACAUUUCAACCGUAUGCAAAUAGGGUGGCAAAAUGGAAGACGGAGCAUUAACCUGCUUAAUAACCACAGAUGUGACUUCCAGCUAUCCAAAAGCAACAGAGUAGUAUAGUCAGGAAACAGUUGGUUUUGAGUCAACUCCCAAUUAAUUGAGCUUGUAAUUUUAAUCCAGCUACACAACUUCACCGUACUUUUCUGUCUAUAAGACGCCCUCAUGUAUAAGACUGAAAUUCUUCAGUCCCCUCAUGGGGGACUGAAAUUUAAGAAAAUGGGGAAAAUGGCACAAAUUGUUGAGCUUUCUUGUGGAGGAUUGCACAGAGUUCUUGAGCUUUGUGGGGGGGAUUACCGAGGGUUGUUGAGCUUUUUUGGCGGGAGAAUGCCAAAAACCGCUCACCCGCAUGCGACACAAAAUCUGCCUCCCAUCUGUCCACUCACCGGCAAAAGCUGAUAAUUGACCGCCCAAUUGCCACAGUGUUGGCCAAUCAACACCACCCAUUGACGCAGCAACCAAUAACACGCACAAUAGCCGCGGCACCAACCAACCAAACGUCCACCCAUGUAUAAGACGACCCCAACAUUUUAGCAUGAUUUCUAAGGAAAAAACCUAAUCUUAUACACAGAAAUGUACGGUAAAUUGAUUUGAUUAAUUGAUUAUAGUUGCAGAUCUAAAUAUUAUAUAUGCAUCCAUUAGGGGGGAAAUAUGCAACCUUUUCACUAAACUCCAUUCUUUUGAAAACAAGUGUUUAUUUCUUACCAAGGAUACUGGGCACAUGGUAUCAAAGUGUUUUCUUGGUGUUCUUUGUAUAGCAGGUUUGCUGAAGUGAUUCUAUAAUGCCAGGGGGGAAGAUAAAUAUGUUUUGAAGUCUAAUAUCUGAAAGCUCAGUGGCAUCUUGUUUUUGGUACAAAAUAGUGGACAUGACUUUCCUUAUUAGACAGUAAUUUCAUUUCCCUCCCAUUAGUUGGCACUUAACUGGCUCAUAAAGCCAGUGCCACAGUAGACACAUCUUAAUUAUUAGUAAACAAGGAAGGAAUAAAUUAAAUAAAUGGUUCUUUUGUGAUCAGAUCAUAGUCACUUAAAACAGUAGUGUUAUUGCUUUUCAUAUAUCCGCAAGAAACCAAUGUUCCUGAAACUCUUCACCAACCUAUAAAAAAAUCUUAAUAUUAUGUGUGUCUGUGUGUAUAUGUUAUAUCACGUAUAAAAUUCCCUGUCUUGCUAGCCUUUGCCAAAGGCUAAUAAUGGGUGAUAAAACUCAAGUUUAGAGAGAGAGAGAGAGAGAAUUCACAAAAGAACAAUCUUCCCAUAGCAGUUUUGUAAGGUUCUGAUCUCUUAGCCAUUGCUUUGUAGAUGUUUCAGACACUAUAUAGAUAUGGAGAAAUACUGUUGAUACUUUGACAAAGAGCAUACCAUGGUUCAUAAAAGGUAAAGGUAAAGGUAAAGGGACCCCUGACCAUUAGGUCCAGUCGUGGCCGACUCUGGGGUUACGCUGCUCAUCUCGCUUUAUUGGCUGAGGGAGCUGGCGUGGCCGCUUUUGGCGAACCAGAGCAGCGCACGGAAACGCCGUUUAUCUUCCCGCCGGAGCGGUCCCUAUUUAUCUACUUGCACUUUGACGUGCUUUCAAACUGCUAGGUUGGCAGGAGAAGGGACCGAACAAUGGGAGCUCACCACGUGGCGGGGAUUCAAACCGCCACCCUUCUGAUUGGCAAGUCCUAGGCUCUGUGAUUUAACCCACAGCGCUACCCGCGUCCCACCACGGUUCAUAGUGAUUAGUAAUAACUAAAUAGGGGGUGGGAAUCAUAUGACAGCCCCUUACUGCUGAAAAGACAAGCAGUUUUAAGAACUGUACUGUACUGUGACACCAAUAUAUUUUGUUUUUGGCAAUGUGAAAUGCUGUGAGAAAGGAUCCAGCUCAUUAUGUAGCUUUCCCCUACGUACAUAGAUUACUCAUAUAUAUAUAUAUGGUGAGGCAAGGAAAGAAGGGCUACUCUUAUGCUAUUCAUAUAAUCAGUUAUCAGUAAUCAAUAUAUUCAUAUCAAUAUAUUCAUAUAUGCUCACACAUAAUCAGGGCUUACAGUAUUUUUAUAAUCCAUUUUGAAUCAAAGGGAAGCUUUGCCUUAGCUAACUGCAAACUGCUUGAAACAGCACUUAGAACCGACCUUUCCCCUAGAAACAUCCGUGUACCCUGAACAAGGGGAAGACAUGAAUCAAAGACACUGGUACAAAAUCCCCUCAAAUACAGGCUAAAUUAAUCCACAGAACAGGAAGAGCUAAACCACAAAAACUCCAAAACUCCCUGUCCUGUCAUAACUAGGGGAGAGGUUAGACAGCGCAUCACUGCAGGCAAUGGAAAGCAGAAGUAGAACUCUGCGCUUGACCAGGAGCUGUAAGCCUGGCAAGAAGCACGCUAAUUGGCUAAUUUUCGCUGGCGAUUCGUGACUGUCUCAUGAUUGUCUCAUGAUCUGUGAUUUGCUGCGAUUUGCUCAGGUAUAAAGACCUCAGGAUUUCUGUCAUUCGAGGUCCCAGUCCUUUUGGAAGAGAUUCCAACUGGGUCCUUAUUGCUCAGCAAUAAAACCUCACCUUCUUUUCUCCAUUGCUGCAUCUGCCUGAUUCACACUAAGUGGGUACCUGCUAUACCGUCACGUGCUUCAUUUGGUGCCGUGACUCGGAUCAUACAGGCCAGUAGGGUAACUGGCCCACCCCCCAUGGGCCACUUUUGAUAGGUGGGCCCCACCUACCAAUCAGCUGUUAUCACAUGAUGCUAGGAGUCUUUCUUUAAACCAGGGUUGCAAAGGGAGAAUCUUGGUGAAACCAAUCACAAUGGGGCUUUACAUUUGGUGCCAGAUUUAAUAGUGUUGCAUUGAGAUUGCUAAGAAACAAUUGACAGUGCACCUCCAAACUCUGGGUUGUUCCUUUGCAGCCGUAGCUUUAUCUGCCCCACACCUGAAGUCAUGUGAUGUCAGGGCCAGGUGGGUGAAAAUGUCCCCAAAGAUCAAAUCAGAACCCCUGGAAGACCUAAUUCUUCCCUUGAGCCAGAGGUUUCUCAUUUUGUACCUUAGGAUCUUCAUCAAAGGCAACAGAAAUCACAGUGGUUCCAAGCAUGGGAGUC